rnacentral:rRNA from 1 species
UGGGGAAUUUUGGACAAUGGGCGCAAGCCUGAUCCAGCCAUGCCGCGUGCGGGAAGAAGGCCUUCGGGUUGUAAACCGCUUUUGUCAGGGAAGAAAUCUUCUGAGUUAAUACCUCGGGAGGAUGACGGUACCUGAAGAAUAAGCACCGGCUAACUACGUGCCAGCAGCCGCGGUAAUACGUAGGGUGCAAGCGUUAAUCGGAAUUACUGGGCGUAAAGCGUGCGCAGGCGGUUUUGUAAGACAGAGGUGAAAUCCCCGGGCUCAACCUGGGAACUGCCUUUGUGACUGCAAGGCUUGAGUGCGGCAGAGGGGGAUGGAAUUCCGCGUGUAGCAGUGAAAUGCGUAGAUAUGCGGAGGAACACCGAUGGCGAAGGCAAUCCCCUGGGCCUGCACUGACGCUCAUGCACGAAAGCGUGGGGAGCAAACAGGAUUAGAUACCCUGGUAGUCCACGCCCUAAACGAUGUCAACUGGUUGUUGGGAAGGUUCCUUCUCAGUAACGUAGCUAACGCGUGAAGUUGACCGCCUGGGGAGUACGGCCGCAAGGUUGAAACUCAAGGGAAUUGACGGGGUCAU